GAUGAAGAACGUAGCGAAAUGCGAUAAGUAAUGUGAAUUGCAGAAUUCAGUGAAUCAUCGAAUCUUUGAACGCACAUUGCGCCCGCCAGCAUUCUGGCGGGCAUGCCUGUUCGAGCGUCAUUUCAACCCUCGACCUCCCUUUGGGGAAGUCGGCGUUGGGGACCGGCAGCACACCGCCGGCCCUGAAAUGGAGUGGCGGCCCGUCCGCGGCGACCUCUGCGUAGUAAACCAACUCGCACCGGAACCCCGACGUGGCCACGCCGUAAAACACCCAACUUCUGAACGUUGACCUCGAAUCAGGUAGGACUACCCGCUGAACUUAAGCAUAUCAAUAAGCGGAGGA
rnacentral:misc_RNA from 1 species